GAUCAUGGCUCAGGAUGAACGCUAGCUACAGGCUUAACACAUGCAAGUCGAGGGGCAGCAUGGUCUUAGCUUGCUAAGACUGAUGGCGACCGGCGCACGGGUGAGUAACACGUAUCCAACCUGCCGUCUACUCUUGGACAGCCUUCUGAAAGGAAGAUUAAUACAAGAUGGCAUCAUGAGUCCGCAUGUUCACAUGAUUAAAGAUUUAUCGGUGUACG
rnacentral:rRNA from 1 species